rnacentral:antisense_RNA from 1 species
CUGGAAAAAAUGAGGUGAGGAGAGACGGAUUUGCAAAGCAGAAAGAAAAUGAGAUAGCAGUAACAACUGGCAACGGUAUGUUCAUCUGAUGUAUUUGCAAAUAUUUAAGUUCUAGGCUUCCUCAGGAAAUCUGGAAAGUAUUGGCCACUGAUUGGGAAAGCCUUUUUUAUUAUAAUACAUCCAUCACUGUAUGGGAAAGCAGGAAGCGGAUCUGCCAAUGAAACGAAAUAGUUUUCUGGAAAUAAAUAACAUUUACAGACAAUUGAAACUAUUGACUAUAGAAUGAUGCAGUUGUUUCAAGAUUCCAUAGGUAAUCUGGAAUGGAGGCGUGGAGGUGAAAGUUCUGGACUCUUCUUCUCAUAUGUCUAGCUAACCUGGUCAGAGGCUUGCCAGAAAGGGCCCCAAUAAAAGGAAGCUACACCCAAGAUAUGAGACAAGAAUAUGGGACAGUUAGCUUUGAUCUCUGAAUGUGUUGUGUAUUGGUUUCAGUGCCCAUCUCGUAGAAAUAAAAUACUGCUUUAUUCUGCA